UAGACCAAAAAGUAAGUUUUUUCCCCCAAUGACUAAUCACUGCGUUGAGACAUUUGUAAAGGCAGUAGAAAGGGACAUUGGAAAACUAGAAUGGUCAAAAAGACAUAGUAAAACCCUAAAUCUAUCUAGGGAGGAACGCGUGGCUUUGCAGACUUUGAAAGAUGAUACUUCCAUCAUCAUUAAGCCAGCCGACAAAGGUGGCGCUAUAGUGGUCAUGGACAUGGAAACAUACAGGGGGGAGGCACUCUCUCAGUUACAAGACACAACGCAUUACAGGAUAUUAGGUGGGGAUCCGACAAAUGAUUUAAAACAGAUGAUAGAUAAUCUAUUAAAGAUCAGUGAAGAAGCUGGUAUCAUUACAAACCGUUUAAAAAAUUUUUUGCAGGUUGAUAACCCCAUAAUACCUGUCUUUUAUCUUUUACCAAAGAUACACAAAAAUCUGCAGAGACCACCAGGGAGACCCAUUGUGGCAGGAAUGUCGUCUGUAUUUCAACCUAUAGCAGUCAUGUUGGACACUGUCCUCAAUCCUAUAGUGGUAUGUACUAAGUCCUAUGUUAAGGACACUACUGAUUUCAUUAAUAAGCUAAAUGAGAUUGAAUUGAACACAAAAGAUGUAUUUCUUUGCACAAUGGACGUCUCCUCCCUCUAUACCUCUAUCCCCCAUGAUCAGGGAAUCGAGGUUAUCACAGCAGCAAUGGCAGAUCUUGGAUUACUAGGGGGAGUGGUGGAUUUACUUCUACAACUUCUGGGAUGGAUCCUGAAAAGGAAUUAUUUCCUCUUUGAAGUUUUCACCCACCCUCUACAAUCAAAGGGCUACCAUAUAGCCAAAUGUUACGAACAAGACGCAUUGUAAGUGAAGAUGACAAAUUUGAAGAGAGAGCAGAAGAAAUGAUGACCCACUUUGAGAGUAGAGGCUAUGGGACAGAUAUGUUGGAAACAGCCAGGGAGAAAGUAAAAGAUGGACCAGAGGUUAAAACCAUGGGUGGCGGAACCUCCAAUGAUGGCCUAUAAAAGAUCAAGCAACCUGAGGGACCAUCUGGUCCAUGCGUUAAUUGAACCACAAAAGAAGCAAGAUCAUAUAAGAAAUGAGUGAUGGAUUAUCCAUUGAAUUUUUGUGUCCUCCUAUUAACCUCACCAAAGGUUUUUUUUAAAAAAACGAAAAAACGAGGAAAUAUUUUAAUGAGCACUGUCACUUUAAAUAUAUUGCACUGACCACGGGUCUGUUUUUAUAUUGUUUAAUAUUAGAUUGCACAAUAUGGACUGUUUUAUAAUAUUGAUUGUCACUAUAAUGAACUAAUGAAAGAUGAUUGGUUACUAUAUGUAUUUUUAUGAACAAAUCUUUUUACAUGAAUUCCCUACAUAUGAUUGGACACAUUGAGACACAUGAUUAUAAGCACAUACUAACUUUAGAGGUCAUAUGACCCAGGUCAUCGAUUAUACACAUUGGACACAUUGAGACACAUGAUUAUAAGCACACACCCACUUUAGAGGUCAUAUGACCCAAAUCAUCGAUUGGAUACAUUGAGACACAUGAUUAUAAGCACAUACCCACUUUUGAGGUCAUAUGACCAACUUUAUCGAUUUUAUUAUAUGCAAUGGUAUAAAUCAAUUAAUUCUGCACACAAGCACUUUAGAACAUAUAUUUAUAUGUUUUAUCUAUAUGAUAAAUUGGUUUUAUGUUUUGAUCUGUGAUUAAUUAGUAGUAUGGUUUAUAUCCUGUGUUGCUGGAUGACAUUUGGUUGCUAUGUGAACUAUCGUGAGUUACCCCAUGUUUUGGUUACCUAGCGACAGAGUAAACAUGAGCGCAUGCUUUCCCUGUAGUGCAGGCAAGUACAAUGAAUAUAGAGAGCCGUGUUGCUAAGCGGAUGACUCAUCCGCGGAAGUGACAUAGGCGGAAGUGACGUCACACACCAUGUGGUAAUUGAACAGGGUAUUUAUAGCUCCACACGACAGGGCAAAC